UACGUAAGUGGCGAGCGUUUAUCCGGAAUUACUGGGCGUAAAGCGUGUGUAGGCGGUUUAGUGUGUGGGAAUUGAAAGCCCGGGGCUCAACUCCGGAUCCGGUUCCCCAAACUGCUAGACUCGAGAGUAUCAGAGGAGAGCGGAAUUCCCGGUGUGAGCGGUAAUAUGCGUAGAUAUCGGGAGGAACACCAGUGGCGAAGGCGGCUCUCUGGG
rnacentral:rRNA from 1 species